GUUGGAUAGGAUCCGACCCGAAUGUCGGGGGUGGGUGACGUGAUCCGGUCGGACCGGUUAUGUAAUGGAGUAAUGGUGUUGUUGGAAAUGUUUGUUAUGUAACGAAUCUCUCUUUAUCAGCUUGUAAAUUACGCGUUCCUCAGCCAACAAACACAGCUGACGAUUUGUUCGGGGAAUAUGGACUGUUUUUGUCUUUUCAUUUUGUAAAAAGUGAUCUUAUUCUCUGUGUGCAACCUCACCCCGUAGUUU